rnacentral:rRNA from 1 species
AACUGAAACAUCUAAGUACCCCGAGGAAAAGAAAUCAACCGAGAUUCCCCCAGUAGCGGCGAGCGAACGGGGAGGAGCCCAGAGCCUGAAUCAGCAUGUGUGUUAGUGGAAGCGUCUGGAAAGGCGCGCGAUACAGGGUGACAGCCCCGUACACAAAAGCGCAUGUGUUGUGAGCUCGAUGAGUAGGGCGGGACACGUGGUAUCCUGUCUGAAUAUGGGGGGACCAUCCUCCAAGGCUAAAUACUCCUGACUGACCGAUAGUGAACCAGUACCGUGAGGGAAAGGCGAAAAGAACCCCGGCGAGGGGAGUGAAAAAGAACCUGAAACCGUGUACGUACAAGCAGUGGGAGCACAGGUUUACCUGUGUGACUGCGUACCUUUUGUAUAAUGGGUCAGCGACUUAUAUUCUGUAGCAAGGUUAACCGAAUAGGGGAGCCGGAGGGAAACCGAGUCUUAACCGGGCGUUAAGUUGCAGGGUAUAGACCCGAAACCCGGUGAUCUAGCCAUGGGCAGGUUGAAGGUUGGGUAACACUAACUGGAGGACCGAACCGACUAAUGUUGAAAAAUUAGCGGAUGACCUGUGGCUGGGGGUGAAAGGCCAAUCAAACCGGGAGAUAGCUGGUUCUCCCCGAAAGCUAUUUAGGUAGCGCCUCGUGAAUUCAUCUCCGGGGGUAGAGCACUGUUUCGGCUAGGGGGCCAUCCCGGCUUACCAACCCGAUGCAAACUGCGAAUACCGGAGAAUGUUAUCACGGGAGACACACGGCGGGUGCUAACGUCCGUCGUGAAGAGGGAAACAACCCAGACCGCCAGCUAAGGUCCCAAAGUCAUGGUUAAGUGGGAAACGAUGUGGGAAGGCCCAGACAGCCAGGAUGUUGGCUUAGAAGCAGCCAUCAUUUAAAGAAAGCGUAAUAGCUCACUGGUCGAGUCGGCCUGCGCGGAAGAUGUAACGGGGCUAAACCAUG